GUCAGUACUAAGCAAAGAUAGGCGCAGCUGCGGCUGCUUCCUAAAGGGUCCCCCUGGCUGAAAGGGGGGGCUUCCGCUCUUCCUUCUGCUGCCUAGGGGCUGAGCUGGGAUCUAGCUGCCUUCCUCAACCCAGGCAUGGCCACAUGAUACAGCCAUCGUGUUGUAGGCCAUUCUAGGUCUGGUCCGUGCCUGGAUGGAUGACUGACCACUUGGGCACUCCAUCUAAACUGCCAUAAGUCCCAUAAUGGGAGAAAGAAUUCCUCUCCUUUGGAGGCACUACAGUGAAAGGCUGGACACUUAUAAGCACACAGUCAAAGAAUGAAGUUACCCUUUCGCUUGUAUAGAUAUUCAUAUUUUUUGGUUCGGUGCUCUGUGAUAGUAGCUGAAGAGCAGGACAGCUUUGCCCCAAGGGGACUGGAAAGGACAGCCCAGGAAAUCACGUUGGGGACAAAAUCUGCAGGCUACACCGUGCAAGAGGCAGAGCAGUGUAUGACCACCGCUGCCACCACCACAAACGGUAUCAUCUUUCCAUCACUGUCAGUGGGCACAUGAAAGGUCUGUAUGGAAAAGUAGCGGGUGAGAGGGGUGCAGCAGCAUCCCUAACAAUGUUUGCACUAAUCAUCUGAGAAUGACCCUAUUCAAGAGUAAACGCAUAUAGUACUGCAGUGAUCUUCAUUACUGUACAAGUGUGUGUGUGUGGGGGUCAUUUUGGCUCAACACUUGCAAUGUGAGAGCCAUUUUCCACUGUGCUGACUUCUGCACAUUACUGUGCCUUUUCCAGUGCUGGUAGGGCCUUUUAAGAGAGUCGGAACCCUACCAUGAGCUCUAGGAGGAAAGCAGUGGAAAGGGCUACACUUCCCAGCACUCUGUACACGACGGCCAAGAUGGUGCCAAAGGGCUUUGUUUCCCUUAGUGAGCCAGAGCCUUGGACUGGACUGGAUGAAGCACAGCACGGCAUGAUAUUUGGGCUGCAAUUGUGUGAGCUCUCCUCUGUGCCCAGCUUCACUUGUGUCUGGGUGCUGCAGUGGAGUUUUAAAAAAGAAAGAAAGAAAAGGCCCUUAUUGGUGACAUCAGUUUGUACCAGGAGGAUUAAAGGGAUGUGCCAAAUUCAGCCGUGUGAGCUCACUGCAUAGGGAACCGAGUGGAUACACAUGAUGGACUGGAAAGGAGCCAAACUCUCCUUUCGACAUCAACAGCUUCUCAAAGUGGAAAGAGGGGCAAGAUGACGGGCAAAAGGAAUGCAUGUUUGGGGCUGUGAUACUUACAGGCCUGACCCCAGCUUUCUGCAGCUUCUCCUAAUUAAAUGUGGCUAAAUAUCAUGGACAUUGUUCAAGUGGAUCUGAAAUCUGAUCUUGCCAUUCCUUGCUCAAUUUAAAAUCCCCUUAAAGCCACACUGACUCUGCUCCACAAUGACAUGCAGGGGAUGGCGCAAGCUGGCAGGGUAUAUAAAAAACUUGGAUUUUGUUUUCCGCUCAGCUACUGUAUUCUUGUGCAAACCUGGGCAAGCAUCCACUCUGUGCCUCAGUUUUAUUCCUGCAGAAUGGGGAUAAAAGCACACUAAUAUUCUUUAAAGCCUGUAAAGGUAAACUGGUUACAAAUGCAGAAGAGGGAGGGUACACAUUCAGGUUCUGUGUUGAUGGGUUCACACGUAAAGCAGAACCUACUUGCAAAGUCGGUAACUAACUUGUCUUUGACUGUCUGAACACAUGCCAAGACAGAAACCUGAGGUUCACUCAGGGCCUCAAACCAAGAUGUGUAACCAGGUUUAGAAGCUGGCUUGCCAAACCAAUUGCUGCUCCCACUGAGGUGCACGUUGUGUCUGAAACAAUGCUCUUCACGAACCUCUGGUUCAUUCCAGGUGAGCCAGCCCCACGCACCCACCCACACACACACAGCUUUGCCAUCAGGACCAAUGGCUGUGAGGCAGCACAAGGCAGGCUGGGAUAGCAUCCAGGGCCUUGCUGAGAGGCCCAGCCACGGGGCAUAAUUCUGGCUCAACUCAGCUACUUUCAACAAACCAAGAUAUGUGAUCUUCUGCAGCACCAACUUCAGCUUCCCUCCUCCAUAUGCUGGGCUAGGGGAAUGUCAGGUUCUGUGCUGUGUGAACACAGCCUGAUAUAAAAGCAAAGUUGUCAGCUAUCUAUCCAAACUGGGCUGCAAGCCUAAGUUAGCAGUAAAUUGGAAUAGCUGUCAGUGGUGUGUUAACACUUUACAUAUAUAAAAGAUCUAUACUGGUUUGAAGUGCUAUCCAUUAUAUUCUGGGGAAAGGGGGGGAAUAAAUUAUAUAGUGCUAUAUUGUGCAUUAAGGAUUUUAAAGGAUAUGUUUAAUGUAACCAUGUUGAGGACUUAUGUUCCAGAUUCAUUUGAUCACUUUGGGGGCAGAUUUUCCAUCCAUGUGUGUCACUUUGUGUGUCACUAUAGAUGUGCAAUUGAGAUGGUAAAGGCGUUGCUGAGUAGUUCAUCACAAGGCCAGCUCCCAAAUUAGUGUCUUACUGUAAAUGCAAGAUUUAAUGUAAAUGUAAGAGCCAGCAUAGUGUCGUGGACCUGGUUAGAGUGCUAGACUAGGACCGGGGAGACUCGAGUUCAAAUCCCCAUUCAGCCAUGAUACUUGCUGGAUGACUCUGGGCCAGUCACUUCUCUCUCAGCCUGACCUACUUCACAGGGUUAGUAGAAACUUAAGUAUGUAGUACACAGCUACUGGGCUCCUUGGAGGAAGAGCGGGAUAUAAAAUGUAGAUGAUGAUAAUAAUGAUGAUGUUCCCAAAAAUAGUAUUUGUGGGAACUAGGCCUAUGGUGAAACCCUUGGACAACUGUUUUAUUGCUUCAUUUUUUCAUCUGUGGUGACAAAAAGAUUAACACAGAUAAAGUAUAAGCCCCCAAGUGGUCCUGUGAUUAUUUAGCCCUAUUCAGAUGUUAUUUAUGGAGGCUGUACUUGUGUAUAGUGCACUGUCCCUCAUUCAGUUUCCUGGUGCAUCACUCAUUAUUACAGGCUGAAUAAUGAAGUGACUAACUCUGUAAGCAUGAGUUAGUUAGUUGAUUUCCACACUGCCCUUCAAAAAAAUAGCUCAGGGCAGUUUACACAGAGAAAUAAUACAUAAAUAAGAUGGCUCCCUGUCCCCAAAGGGCUCACAUUCUAAAAAGAAACAUAAGACACACACCAGCAACAGUCACUGGAAGUACUGUGCUGGGGGUGGAUAGGGCCAGUUACUCUCCCCCUGCUAAAUAAAGAGAAUUGCCACAUUAAAAGGUGCCUCUUUGCCAAGUUAGCAGGGGUUAGCAGUGAUGGCAGGUGCUUCCUUGGUCAUCAGGCUCCAGUAUCAUUAAAUAAGGUCUGAAUUGGGGUUCUUAGAUACAGAAGAAGCAGGAAGUCAGGAUGCUAAAUGACAAAAGUGGGAAGGGACCACUAACAGCAUGAUCACUUGCAUGUUUUGUCAGGAAUAAGUUGUACACCAUUCAAUGGUGCUUACUUCCAAGUAAGUGUAUGUAGGGAAGAUAUGAUGCAUGCUUUCAACACAGUGAAACUUACUUCUGCUUAGGCAUGCAUAGAAUUGUGUUUAAAUGAAGGUUUUGCAUUAUUUCCUUGCAGAAUAUACUGGUACCCACACAUGACUUCUUCCAUAUAUCUAUUAUGUCCAAAUAACUUUGUCAGAGGUAUCAGACUAUGAGAUUGUGAAUGAAUAAAUAUUGAUUGAGACUG